rnacentral:rRNA from 1 species
ACGAACGCUGGCGGCAUGCCUAACACCUGCAAGUCGAACGAUGCCUCCGGGCAUAGUGGCGCACGGGUGCGUAACGCGGGGGAAUCUGCCCUUGGGUUCGGAAUAACUCGCCGAAAGGCGAGCUAAUACCGGAUGAUGACGUAAGUCCAAAGAUUUAUCGCCCAAGGAUGAGCCCGCGUAGGAUUAGCUAGUUGGUGGGGUAAAGGCCCACCAAGGCGACGAUCCUUAGCUGGUCUGAGAGGAUGAUCAGCCACACUGGGACUGAGACACGGCCCAGACUCCUACGGGAGGCAGCAGUGGGGAAUAUUGGACAAUGGGCGAAAGCCUGAUCCAGCAAUGCCGCGUGAGUGAUGAAGGCCUUAGGGUUGUAAAGCUCUUUUACCCGGGAUGAUAAUGACAGUACCGGGAGAAUAAGCUCCGGCUAACUCCGUG